rnacentral:misc_RNA from 1 species
CUUCUUCUUCUUCUUCUUCAGCUUCUGUCAUGGCGGAUUCGAGUGAAGUUAAAAGGGAAUUAGAUCAUAGUAAAGCCAAACAGUCUGAAGAGUCUCUUAGAACUGUUAUGUACUUGAGCUGUUGGGGACCUUAUUGAUUUAUAUUAUUAAUCACCAUAUGAUUUAGUUUAGAGUUUUAGUAGGGAAUAAUGAGCAAGCUUUUUUCUUAUAUAGUUACCAUCGUUUAAGGUCGCAGAUUGGAAUCUCUAACCUUUUAGUCGAGAGUGUAUGUCUUAUAUGUAAGUUGAG